AUUGAACGCUGGCGGCAGGCCUCACACAUGCAAGUCGAACGAGUGGCGGACGGGUGCGUCAUGUCUGGGAAACUGCCUUAUGGAGGGGGCUAACUCCUGGAAACUGUAGCUAAUACCGCAUACCAUCGGAUGUGCCCAGAUGGGAUUCGCUAGUAGGUGGGGUAACGGCUCACCUCGGCGACGAUCCCUAGCUGGUCUGAGAGGAUGACCAGCCACACUGGAACUGAGACACGGUCCAGACUCCUAGGGGAGGCAGCAGUGGGGAAUAUUGCACAAUGGGCGCAAGCCUGAUGCAGCCAUGCCGCGUGUAUGAAGAAGGCCUUCGGGUUGUAAAGUACGUUCAGCGGGGAGGCGUUACCCGCAGAAGAAGCACCGGCUAACUCCGUGCCAGCAGCCGCGGUAAUUC
rnacentral:rRNA from 1 species